rnacentral:lncRNA from 1 species
CUGUGUUGCACUCAAAAUUAUCCGUCAGUUUGCUUAGUAACCCUAUUAGUGUACGGAUCCAAGUGGCCCCUAACUAUUCAUCUCCUAGGAGAUGCUACAUCCUUCUGUAAAUAGACCCAAACUGAGCAAGCUAUACUUAGUAUGUCUAGUCAUGUGCUGGCUCCAAAAGUGUACUCCUGGAACAGAUCAAUAAUGGACUUGUUUUCUUUCAUUCCCUUAGGUUUGAAGUGUGUUAGGUGUCUAAUCAGUAGAGAAUUCAAUCAUGUGACUCAUGAAGGCUCAGGUC